rnacentral:tRNA from 1 species
CGGGGUGUAGCGCAGUCCGGUAGCGCACUUCGUUCGGGACGAAGGGGCCGCUGGUUCAAAUCCAGUCACCCCGA